UAAGCGGAGGAAAAGAAACUAACAAGGAUUCCCCUAGUAGCGGCGAGCGAAGCGGGAAGAGCUCAAAUUUUAAUCUGGCACCUUCGGUGUCCGAGUUGUAAUCUCUAGAAAUGUUUUCCGCGCUGGACCGCACACAAGUCUGUUGGAAUACAGCGGCAUAGUGGUGAGACCCCCGUAUAUGGUGCGGAUGCCCAGCGCUUUGUGAUACAUUUUCGAAGAGUCGAGUUGUUUGGGAAUGCAGCUCAAAUUGGGUGGUAAAUUCCAUCUAAAGCUAAAUAUUGGCGAGAGACCGAUAGCGAACAAGUACCGUGAGGGAAAGAUGAAAAGCACUUUGGAAAGAGAGUUAACAGUACGUGAAAUUGUUGGAAGGGAAACGCUUGAAGUCAGACUUGCUUGCCGAGCAAUCGGUUUGCAGGCCAGCAUCAGUUUUCCGGGAUGGAUAAUGGUAGAGAGAAGGUAGCAGUUUCGGCUGUGUUAUAGCUCUCUACUGGAUACAUCUUGGGGGACUGAGGAACGCAGUGUGCCUUACGGCGGGGGUUUCGACCUCUUCACACUUAGGAUGCUGGUGGAAUAACGACAACGAC
rnacentral:rRNA from 1 species